rnacentral:rRNA from 1 species
AGCUAUAUGUAUUAUAUAUAUAGUAAUUUCUGCUCAAUGAGUAGCGUUAAAUAGCCGCAGUACCCUGACUGUGCAAAGGUAGCAUAAUCAUUUGGCUCAUAAUUGGGGUCUGGUAUGAAUGAAUUUAUGGCUAGAAGCUGUCUCCUUUAAAGUUUAUUGAAUUUACUAAGUGAGUGCAAAUACUCAUAUUUAGACAAAAGACGAGAAGACCCUAGAAAUUUUUAUUAAUUUCUAUUAAAAAAGAAAGCGUUUUUGUUGGGGCGACAUAAUAACAUAUAACUUAUUAUUAACAUAAGAACCUUUUAUUGAGUAAAUUAAAAUUACUCUAGGGAUAACAGCAUAAUUUACAAAAGUUUGUGACCUCGAUGUUGGAUUAGGGACUGUAUUAUUCAGAAGAAAAUAUAAUUUGUUCUGUUCGAACACUAGUUCUU